AUUGAACGCUGGCGGCAUGCUUUACACAUGCAAGUCGAACGAGUGGCGGACGGGUGAGUAAUGUAUCGGAAAGUACCGAGUAAUGGGGGAUAACUAAUCGAAAGCGUAGCUAAUACCGCAUAUUAUUCGAUCUGCCCAUAUCUGAUUAGCUAGUUGGUGGGGUAAAGGCUGACCAAGGCGACGAUCCCUAGCUGGUCUGAGAGGAUGAUCAGCCACACUGGGACUGAGACACGGCCCAGACUCCUACGGGAGGCAGCAGUGGGGAAUAUUGGACAAUGGGCGCAAGCCUGAUGCAGCCAUGCCGCGUGUCUGAAGAAGGCCUUCGGGUUGUAAAGGACUUUCGGCAGGGAAGCGGUACCCGAAGAAGAAGCACCGGCUAACUCCGUGCCAGCAGCCGCGGUAAUUC
rnacentral:rRNA from 1 species